AUUGAACGCUGGCGGCAGGCCUAACACAUGCAAGUCGAGCGAGCGACGGACGGGUGAGUAAUGUAGGGGGACUGCCCGAUGGAGGGGGAUAACUACUGGAAACGGUGGCUAAUACAGCAUCCUAUAGGCUACCCCAUAUGGGAUUAGCUAGUAGGUGGGGUAAAGGCUCCCCUAGGCGACGAUCUCUAGCUGGUCUGAGAGGCUGAUCAGCCACACUGGGACUGAGACACGGCCCAGACUCCUACGGAGGCAGCAGUGGGGAAUAUUGCACAAUGGGCGCAAGCCUGAUGCAGCCAUGCCGCGUGUAUGAAGAAGGCCUUAGGGUUGUAAAGUACUUUCAGCGGGGAGGCGUUACCCGCAGAAGAAGCACCGGCUAACUCCGUGCCAGCAGCCGCGGUAUAC
rnacentral:rRNA from 1 species